rnacentral:misc_RNA from 1 species
AAAGACUUUGCGACGUGCUUUCUAACCUAUCAUACAUUGUCUUCAUCUUUCCAAGAUUGCUCUAUGGAUCAUGAAGGGCAAGAUGGAUGUAGUAGUUCCGGAUCUGAUACCGGGGGUCAAACCGAUGACAAAACUAGUACUUCUACUUCUACUUGCCUUUACCCAUUUGGGCUGGCCACUUAUAGAAUGCAGGGAGAUCUUUGGUUGAAGCCAGAGACGUCUGAUUACGAACGAAUCGUUGAUCUCUAUCAUGCUGCCGAUUCAUGGUUGAAGCAGCUCGGCGUCCAUCACCACGACUUCAACUUCUUUUCCCUUCACUCAACUUUGUUGUAUGUUUGUGUUCAUGGUUUUGCAACCAACAUGAGAAACUCUUUACCUUUUUUGCCUCUGCCCCCUGCAGUUAGGGGUUUGAUUCAAAACCAGCCCUUUUGUAGUUUUUAACUCAGGAAAAAUGAUGAACAUUGUU